AAUCAACGCUGGCGGCGUGCCCCAGACAUGCAAGUCGAACGAUUAAAGCUCUCUUCGGAGAGUGUAUAGAGUGGCGCACGGGUGAGUAACACGUAAGUAAUCUACCUUCGAGUGGGGAAUAACGUCCGGAAACGGACGCUAAUACCGCAUAAUGCAGCGGCAUCGCAAGAUGACAGUUGUUAAAGAUUUAUCGCUUGAAGAGGAGCUUGCGGCGGAUUAGCAGUUGGUAAGGUAAUGGCUUACCAAGGCUACGAUCUGUAACCGGUCUAAGAGGACGGUCGGUCACACUGACACUGAACAACGGGUCAGACUCCUACGGGAGGCAGCAGUCGGGAAUUUUGGGCAAUGGGCGAAAGCCUGACCCAGCAACGCCGCGUGAAGGAUGAAGUAUUUCGGUAUGUAAACUUCGAAAGAAUGGGAAGAAUCAAUGACGGUACCAUUUAUAAGGUCCGGCUAACUACGUGCCAGCCGCCGCAGU
rnacentral:rRNA from 1 species